GAUUUCUGGCCUGAAACAUUUUGUCGGCCGCGGUUUCGCGUGUUAGUGCAUUAUGUUCUAGCCAUCCUUCCAAUCGCUAUUUACCUUUCUUCAUUGAUUGGUAAGUGGUAUUGGAUCUUUUACUUUGAAAAAAUUAGAGUGUUUCAAGCAGGCUUUAUGCUAUGAAUACAUUAGCAUGGAAUAAUAAUUUAGGACUUCGGUUCUAUUUUGUUGGUUUCUAGGACUGAAGUAAUGAUUGAUAGGGAUAGUUGGGGGUGCUAGUAUUCAGCGGCCAGAGGUGAAAUUCUCGGAUUCGCUGAAGACUAACUUAUGCGAAAGCAUU
rnacentral:rRNA from 1 species